rnacentral:rRNA from 1 species
GUAGUUUGACUCCGUGGCUACAAGAACGACGCUGGCGGCAGGCUUAACACAUGCAAGUCGAGCGCCCCGCAAGGGGAGCGGCAGACGGGUGAGUAACGCGUGGGAAUCUACCAUUUGCUACGGAACAACAGUUGGAAACGACUGCUAAUACCGUAUGUGCCCUUUGGGGGAAAGAUUUAUCGGCAAAUGAUGAGCCCGCGUUGGAUUAGCUAGUUGGUGGGGUAAAGGCCUACCAAGGCGACGAUCCAUAGCUGGUCUGAGAGGAUGAUCAGCCACACUGGGACUGAGACACGGCCCAGACUCCUACGGGAGGCAGCAGUGGGGAUAUUGGACAAUGGGCGCAAGCCUGAUCCAGCCAUGCCGCGUGAGUGAUGAAGGCCCUAGGGUUGUAAAGCUCUUUCACCGGUGAAGAUAAUGACGGUAACCGGAGAAGAAGCCCCGGCUAACUUCGUG